AACUUAUUAAUAUAAAAAGUAUUUUAAGCUUCCAACUUAAAUGUUCCAUUUGGAAUAAGGUA
rnacentral:tRNA from 2 species